rnacentral:rRNA from 1 species
UGGGGAAUAUUGGACAAUGGGCGAAAGCCUGAUCCAGCCAUGCCGCGUGAGUGACGAAGGCCUUAGGGUUGUAAAGCUCUUUUGGCGGGGAAGAUAAUGACGGUACCCGCAGAAUAAGCUCCGGCUAACUUCGUGCCAGCAGCCGCGGUAAUACGAAGGGAGCUAGCGUUGUUCGGAUUUACUGGGCGUAAAGGGCGCGUAGGCGGCAAUUCAAGUCAUCUGUGAAAUCUCCGGGCUUAACUCGGAACGGUCAAGUGAUACUGCUGUGCUAGAGUACAGAAGGGGCAAUCGGAAUUCUUGGUGUAGCGGUGAAAUGCGUAGAUAUCAAGAGGAACACCUGAGGUGAAGACGGGUUGCUGGGCUGACACUGACGCUGAGGCGCGAAAGCCAGGGGAGCAAACGGGAUUAGAUACCCAAGUAGUCCCUGAGCGGGCUGGCAAGGCGCAU